GAUGAACGCUGGCGGCGUGCCUAAUACAUGCAAGUCGAGCGAAUGGAUUAAGAGCUUGCUCUUAUGAAGUUAGCGGCGGACGGGUGAGUAACACGUGGGUAACCUGCCCAUAAGACUGGGAUAACUCCGGGAAACCGGGGCUAAUACCGGAUAACAUUUUGAACCGCAUGGUUCGAAAUUGAAAGGCGGCUUCGGCUGUCACUUAUGGAUGGACCCGCGUCGCAUUAGCUAGUUGGUGAGGUAACGGCUCACCAAGGCAACGACGCGUAGCCGACCUGAGAGGGUGAUCGGCCACACUGGGACUGGGACACGGCCCAGACUCCUACGGGAGGCAGCAGUAGGGAAUCUUCCGCAAUGGACGAAAGUCUGACGGAACAACGCCGCGUGAGUGAUGAAGGCUUUCGGGUCGUAAAACUCUGUUGUUAGGGAAGAACAAGUGCUAGUUGAAUAAGCUGACACCUUGACGGUACCUAACCAGAAAGCCACGGCUAACUACGUGCCAGCCGCCGCUGUAA
rnacentral:rRNA from 1 species